ACGUAGGGGGCGAGCGUUAUCCGGAAUUAUUGGGCGUAAAGAGUACGUAGGUGGUUUUUUAAGCGCAGGGUUUAAGGCGAUGGCUCAACUGUCGUUCGCCCUGUGAACUGGAAGACUUGAGUACAGGAGAGGAAAGCGGAAUUCCUAGUGGAGCGUUUAAUUGCAUGGAAAUUAGGAGGAAGUACGAUGGCGAAGGCGGCUUUCUGGACUGUAACUGACUCUGGGGUAAGUAAGCGUUGUGAGCUUGCAG
rnacentral:rRNA from 1 species